rnacentral:piRNA from 1 species
UCGAUGUGUCCUCGUCCUGUUUGUAGCGUU